rnacentral:rRNA from 1 species
GAUGAACGCUGGCGGCGUGCCUAAUACAUGCAAGUCGAGCGAACAGAUGAGGAGCUUGCUCCUCUGACGUUAGCGGCGGACGGGUGAGUAACACGUGUAUAACCUACCUAUAAGACUGGGAUAACUUCGGGAAACCGGAGCUAAUACCGGAUAAUAUCUUGAACCGCAUGGUUCAAUAGUGAAAGGCGGUUUUGCUGUCACUUAUCGAUGGAUCCGCGCCGCAUUAGCUAGUUGGUAAGGUAACGGCUUACCAAGGCGACGAUGCGUAGCCGACCUGAGAGGGGGAUCGGCCACACUGGAACUGAGACACGGUCCAGACUCCUACGGGAGGCAGCAGUAGGGAAUCUUCCGCAAUGGGCGAAAGCCUGACGGAGCAACGCCGCGUGAGUGAUGAAGGUCUUCGGAUCGUAAAACUCUGUUAUUAGGGAAGAACAAAUGUGUAAGUAACUAUGCACGUCUUGACGGUACCUAAUCAGAAAGCCACGGCUAACUACGUG